rnacentral:rRNA from 1 species
ACUCAAAGGAAUAGACGGGGGCCCGCACAAGCAGCGGAGCAUGUGGUUUAAUUCGACGCAACGCGAAGAACCUUACCUGGGCUUGACAUGUAGGUGACCGGCCUGGAAACAGGCCUUUCCUUCGGGACACCUUCACAGGUGGUGCAUGGCUGUCGUCAGCUCGUGUCGUGAGAUGUUGGGUUAAGUCCCGCAACGAGCGCAACCCCCGUCGCAUGUUGCCAGCAUUCAGUUGGGGACUCAUGCGAGACUGCCGGUGACAAACCGGAGGAAGGUGGGGAUGACGUCAAGUCAUCAUGCCCCUUAUGUUCAGGGCUACACACGUGCUACAUUGGCGCGUACAGAGGGCAGCGAUACCGCGAGGUGGAGCGAAUCCCUUAAAGCGCGUCUCGGUUCGGAUUGGAGGCUGAAACUCGCCUCCAUGAAGGCGGAGUUGCUAGUAAUCGCGGAUCAGCAUUGCCGCGGUGAAUACGUUCCCGGGCCUUGCACACACCGCCCGU